UCCAUAUGGACCAAUAAGCCAGUAUAAACCAGUAUGGACCAGUAUAGAACAGUAUAGAUCAGUAUAACCAGUAUGGACCAGUAUAAACCAGUGUAGACCAGUAUAACCAGUAUGGACCAGUAUAGACCAGUAUAGACCAGUAUGGACCAGUAUAGACGAGUAUAGACCAGCACAGACCUGUAUAAACCAGUCUAUACCAGUAUAAACCAGUAUAGACCAGUAUGAACCAGUACGGACCAGUAUGGAGCAGUAUAGACCAGUAUGGACCAGUAUAGACCAGUAUGGACCAGUAUGAACCAUUAUAAACCAGUAUAGACCAGCACAGACCAGUAAAAACCAGUAUAGACCAGUAUAAACCAGUAUGGAUCAGUAUGGACCAGUAUGGACCAGUGCAGACCAGUAUAAACCAGUAUGGACCAGUAUAAACUAGUAUGAAGCAGUAUAAACCAAUAUGGACCAGUACAGACCAGUAUAAACCAGUAUGGACCAGUAGACCAGUAUAAACCAGUAUGGAGUAGUAUAGACCAGUAUAGACCAGUACAGACCAGUAUAAACCAGUAUGGACCAGUAGACCAGUAUAAACCAGUAUGGAGUAGUAUAGACCAGUAUAGACCAGUACAGACCAGUAUAAACCAGUAUGGACCAGUAGACCAGUAUAAACCAGUAUGGAGCAGCACAGACCAGUAUAAACCAGUAUACACCAGUAAAGACCAGUAUAGUCCAGUAUAGACCAGUAUGGACCAGUAUACACCUGUGUAUUCCAGUAUAGACCAGUAUAAGAAGUAUAAACCAGUAUAGAGCAGUGUGAACCAGUAUCAACCAAUAUGGAGCAGUAUAGACUAGUAUAGACCGUUAUAGACCAGUAAAGACCAGUAUAGACCAGUAUAAUCCAGUAUAGACCAAUAUAGACCCGUAUGGACCAGUAUGGACCAGUUUGGGUGAGCUGGGCUCUGGGCCAGGCACGGGCUGGCACUGGGGCUGAUGGUGCUGUGUGGGGCUCUGCUGUCGCUGGACGCGGCGCGCGCCGCGCUGGGCGUGUCGCAGGACUGUCACCUGCUGCUGGCGCUGGCCGCGGUGGCCGUGUCCUGCCAGGUGGCCCUGCAGGCCUUGGGGACAUCGCGGCGACACCUGAGCGACACCGCGCGCGAGCACCGCGCCACGGCGCAGCGCCUGCGACAGCGCGCGCGCCGCGCGGCCACCGCCCGGGCCACCCCCCCCCCCCCCCCCCCCCCCCCCCCCCCCCCCCCCCCCCCCCCCCCCCCCCCCCCCCCCCCCCCCCCCCCC
rnacentral:lncRNA from 12 species